AUUCAUUGGCCUCAUCAAAAUUCACUCUUCAUUGAUUUCCCUCUUUUAAUUUCCUUGAUGGGUGGGAUUUUUACCAACAUAAUGCUUCACAUGUAAGCUUUUCUAGCAAAUUCGAUGUAGCCCAUUCCUUUGUUGCUUCUAUUAUCAUGUCUAAGGUUCCCUUUAUUGGUUCUCUAUCAAUCAUCACUCUAUGCUUUAGCCUCUUUUCUUCUUUUCUUUUCUCCUGUUUUUUUUCCCCCUUUUCUUAGGGUGUCUUUCAAAAAAUUGAUCCAAUUGUCCAUUCCCUACAACUCAUUCUAUGGCAUCCAUCAAAUCUACUCACUCAUCCAUGAUGUUUCCUACUUCUCCAUGAUAUUUGCUUCUUUCUUUUGACCACCAUCAGGUAGGCAAGGGCUUUAUGCGUAUUGGAGAUCCCAACACCUCUUCCCUACCAAUCUAGUUUAAUAUGUGUGCUCAAGAUGCAUUCAAAGGUGUGUAUCCUUGAAACCAAUUGUUCAGAAGCCCAUUUCUCUUCCUAAGAUCAUAAUUUCUUCUUAGUGAUUGUUUCUUAAUUUGAGAAUGCCCGAAGAAUGGUUGUUUCCUCAUGUCGACCUAGUUGGACGGGAUUGUGUCCACUUGUUCCAAGCCACACCCAAAACCUCCCAUCCCUAUUCUCAUAGGAUGAUCUCUUCACUUUGUAGUUGACGAAGCCGCCUUCUUGUGUCUUGGUGUUACAUGUAUUGUUUGAGGGUGUUCUCGCUACUCCUCAAGCUCGUGAGUGACUUGUGUGUUUUGUUGUAUAGUUUCUUGUUAUUGGUUAAAAUUUUCCAACAAAAGUUUGAAUUGUUCUUGAAGCUGUGUAUAAUGUAGUGCAAUUGCUUCCCAGCAAGAUUUGAUUGGAUGGGAUAUUCUUGAUAAUACUGAGGUGGUCACUCCUAUCAAUGCUCCUAA